UACGUAGGGGGCAAGCGUUGUCCGGAUUUAUUGGGCGUAAAGAGCGUGUAGGCGGCCGCACAGGUCCGUUGUGAAAACUGGAGGCUUAACCUUCAGACGUCGAUGGAAACCGUGCGGCUAGAGUCCGGAAGAGGAGAGUGGAAUUCCUGGUGUAGCGGUGAAAUGCGCAGAUAUCAGGAAGAACACCGGUGGCGAAGGCGGAUCUCUGGGCCAUUACUGACGCUGAGGAGCGAAAGCGUGGGGAGCGAACAGG
rnacentral:rRNA from 1 species